AACGCUAGCUACAGGCUUAACACAUGCAAGUCGAGGGGCAGCGUGGAGCAGCAAUGCUCUGACGGCGACCGGCGGAAGGGUGCGUAACACGUGAGCGACUUGCCCGUCACAGGGGGAUAACCGGCGGAAACGGCGACUAAUACCCCAUAUGAUGCGAUGCUGCAUGGCAUUGCAUUGAAAGAUUCAUCGGUGGCGGAUAGGCUCGCGGGACAUUAGCUAGACGGCGGGGCAACGGCCCACCGUGGCGACGAUGUCUAGGGGUUCUGAGAGGAAGGCCCCCCACACUGGGACUGAGACACGGCCCAGACUCCUACGGGAGGCAGCAGUGAGGAAUAUUGGUCAAUGGGCGGAAGCCUGAACCAGCCAUGCCGCGUGAAGGACUAAGGCCCUACGGGUCGUAAACUUCUUUAGACGCAGAGCAAUAAGGUCCACGCGUGGACCGAUGAGAGUAUGCGUAGAAUAAGCAUCGGCUAACUCCGUG
rnacentral:rRNA from 1 species